rnacentral:sRNA from 22 species
AUUAACAUCCAUUAACAUCUAUUAACACGAAUAUGCAUGAACUAGAUCAAAGUUUUAAAUAUUAUAGCGAUGUAGAUUAGCAAACACUAAUCUCAUGACAUUUCUCCUUUUCAACCGAAACUGUUUUAUGCAGAUUCGUUGUUCAACGCAAUGAUCACCCCAAUCAUUGCGUUUUUUUUGCUUAUAAUAUUG